GCACAAGAAGAGAAAAGAGAUAAAGAAAAAAAAAAAAAAAAAAAGGGAGGGUAAUGGCGAGGGAACAGAGGAGAUAAGAGCGAGGGGAAGCGAGAGGGGUACGGAGGGGGAAAUGGAGGAGUAACUGGUUGCUGGGCCGGUCCCGAAAAGGGAAAGCGGCGCUCGUCAGACCGGGGGUGGCCUCUUCUUUUCAUGUCAUUUUAUCACGUACUCCCCCGUAAGCUAAAUAACAAACAACCAUAAAUACAAAUAAUGGAGAAUAUAAAUAUUGGGGUGAGGGAUCCCAAAAGAAAUAAACAAGGGGGUGGCAGAAGCCCCGGUUCCUGUGGCGUGGAUCCAACGGUGAACACGAUGGUGUCAGGCAUCGAGGCCUUCUCGAGCCCAGAAACGGAAGAGAAAGGAGACGAGAGGGACCUCUUCACCACCAGCUCAUCAACAACUCUCUUCUUUUAUUAUUAUUAUUCUUCUUCUUUUAAAAUAGAUAGAUUUUCUUUUUCUUUUUUUUUUUGAAGGGAUGGGAGGGAGGAAGGGAAAAGAGAGCGGCGAUCUCGUACUUCUGCUGGUUCCGACACGACCAGACCAUGCCCCAAACAAGAAACCAAAUCUGCGCUGAUAUUUAAAAAAGAUAUGCUUUCGAAGAAGGGAGAUUUUGGCGCGUGAGAGGUUGCUCAUUCUAUUCGCCGGCCGUAGAAGAAAACCAGCCGAGUUUCCGCGUUCGCAUGUCGCAGGAUCCAACGAAUUUUGGGUUCCUCCGGAUCUCAUGACCGGCUUCCCGGGUUUUAUUUCGACUCCCUCCGUCUUUUUAUUGGGAAAAAAAAAAUAAAGAUAGUUUCAGAUUUCCGAUCAUGUAAGACUUGUUGAGUGUGCAGCAAAAAAAAAAAAAAAUUCACUAAAUAUGUGUAUAUUUUGUUGACAAGGAAGACUUAUAUUUGGUUAGAUAUUUAUUUUUUUUUCAAAAAUAUAUAAAAUAUUUAUUAUAAUUUAUAUUUUUAAUAAAUUUAAAUAAAUUUUUUUUUUUUUGUUACAAUAAAGACUCAUUCUUUAGCAGAUAAAUAUCAUGAAAAAUUUGAUCAUUUUUUUUAUUAACCAACUUAUAAUAUUUUUAUAUUUUUUAGAUAGAUAAAUUAUUUUUUUAUAAAUAAUAUUUAUCUAUAAAAUAGAAAAAAAAUCUUACCUACCUAAAAGAUGAGUAAGUUAAUUUUUCAUCAACCAAUAAAAUAAUUUUUUUAUUUUAUUCUUAAUAUAUAUUUCUAAUCCUACAAUAAUAUGAUGAUAAUAAUAUAUAAUAUUAUCUUAUAUAUAAUAUGCUAUAAUAUUAUUAUCAAAUAAUAUAUUUUAUUAUUUUAAUAUAAUAUAUUAUAAUUUAUUAUAUUACAUUGUAUAUGUAAUAAAUAUUAUUUAUAUUUAUGAAUAUAGAUUAUAUAAUAUUAUAUAUUAUAACAUAUAAAAUAUAAUAUAUUAUAAUAGAAUAUAUUAUAUUAUAUUAUUAUAUAUAAUAAAGAUUUUGCUAUGAUAUUCUUUUAUAAUAUUUAUUAUAAAAAUAUUUAAAAUAUUAAAUAUUAUUUUUAUAUAUAUUUUAUUUUUAAAAAAUAAUAUUUUUAAUUAUUAUUAUUAUUUUUUUUUCUACCCGUGGUUUCACCGCGCCCAACCUCCCACCUUCCCUGCCUCCCACCUUUUCUGCCCCUGACGCCAUCCACAACUCCUCUGUGCUCCUCUAUCCGCGGUUUUGGCAAAGUAGCUGUUGUUUAGACGGUGCUUAUUGGAUAUAUUAAGCAUUAUUUUUCUGCAAUUACAUUUGACCUACUUAUCUCUUCAUAUAUAUAUAUAUAUAUAUAUUAGAUUAUAUAUAAAUAAUACUAAGCUAGAUAUAUAUUAUUAAUUCAUUCUUUAUUAAUUUAGUUUGAGAAUUCACUGAAUAAUGUAAAAUUUUUCACUUGAUUGGCCAAGAAAAUAAAGGCUGGGAUGAAAGCCUUGCUUGUAAUGUAUGAAAUAGAAAAUUAGAUAGUAUAUCCAAAAAAAAAACUAAAGAAAAUUUGAAAAUUAGCGUUUGAAGUUAAACAAUUAAAUCUGAAUGCAACUCUCUCGAGUGGAUUAUCUUUCUAAUCAACCAUGUUGAGGGAAUCAUCAUAUUGCAACAAUGCUACUUUAGGGUUGGUGGAACAUGGAGGAUAUGGGAUCCGAUAUCGAUUCCCUUCGGUCAACCAUCGUUGUCGCCCACUCAUUCGUGGUCACGGACGAGCAAUAGUGAAGGCAACGGGAGUAAGCAAAAGCAUGGAUGGCGCCACCAAGUAAUCAAAUUUGUCUUGGAAUGUUGCUUAUUGGACUUCUGUGGAGUUUACACGGAAUCCAACCUCAUAGUGCUCCUCUUUUGACAUCAAAAAUUUACAUGGGUGAUGAUCAGUUUUCCUGUUACCCC
rnacentral:lncRNA from 1 species